CAAGCACACAUCUAAAACCUGCAGGACACCGGCUCUCGAGGCUGGAGCUCCCUACCCCUGCAGUAGCAGAGAAGCAAAUCUUUUGACUCACUCUACUGGAUCAUACCAACCAUAACAGUGCGACAGGACACCACUGACCUACAUCAAGUGAAAUAUGCUGUGGGCAGAAAAGAAAGGAAGCAGAAAAAUGGAGACAAUUCAGAUCAUCCAGAUGAUGUCCUGUAUGUCACUAUUAAAAAUCACUGGAAGAAAAAAGAAACAAAAUUGUCCAGAGCAGACAUGAAUCCAUGCUGUCAAGAGGGGACUGUCAUCUAUUCUUCAGUCAAGUGAGCCUCAUACAUAGUAUAUUUGUUGGACUUCUAUUAAACCAUGGCAUGAGGUUUGCUAACAUGA